GACGAACGCUGGCGGCGUGCUUAACACAUGCAAGUCGAACGGAAAGGCCCUGCUUUUGUGUGGUGCUCGAGUGGCGAACGGGUGAGUCACACGUGAGUAACCUGCCCUUGACUUUGGGAUAACUUCAGGAAACUUGGGCUAAUACCGGAUAGGAGCUCCUGCUGCAUGGUGGGGGUUGGAAAGUUUCGGCGGUUGGGGAUGGACUCGCGGCUUAUCAGCUUGUUGGUGGGGUAGUGGCUUACCACGGCUUUGACGGGUAGCCGGCCUGAGAGGGUGACCGGCGACAUUGGGACUGAGAUACGGCCCAGACUCCUACGGGAGGCAGCAGGGGGGAAUAUGGCACAAUGGGCGGAAGCGUGAGGCAGCAACGCCGCGGGCGGGAUGACGGCCUUCGGGGUGUAAACCGCUUUCGCCUGUGACGAAGCGUGAGUGACGGUAAUGGGUAAAGAAGCACCGGCUAACUACGUG
rnacentral:rRNA from 1 species